AGUUUAAUAGUUAUUAAUGGAUAGUAAGUUAAAGUAGGAGAAGUGCAGCAAGGAAGUAGAUUUAAUUAGUUUUGUACGAAUAGAGUGGACUGAGGUUUCAAGGAUUAUUAUAGGGAAUUAGUAUUGUGAAAGAAUUUGAAAAGCUAUGAAAAAGAAAAAUUAAUUUUUUGUACCUUGGGUAUCAGGGUUUAUUAAUUAAAGUUUAUAUUUAUAAAUUUCUCGAAUUUAAAAGAGUUAUGAUUAUAUUUUUUUACUGUGGAAUAAGUUCUGUAAAUAUAGUUAUUGAAAUGAAACGUUAUUCGUUUUUAAAUAUAUCUAGUUUUUUAAGAAAAAAAUUAAAUUUUAUUUUUGCUUUAUUAUAGGGUUAUAUUUUUAAGUUUAUGGUAGUAGAAUUUUACAUUUUAAGGGAUGAGCUUUAAGAUGUAUUUAUAUAAUAAAUAAGAGGUUAGGUAUAUGAUUAGUAGGGUUGAAAGUUUCUAUCUUUAUUAGUGUGUUAUUAUUAGUUGUUGUAAUUUUUGAUUUUUAUUUUAUUUAUGUGGUUAUUAAAGUAUAGGCUUAAAUUUAAAAGGUUUAGAAAAAAUGAUAGAAUUAGUAUAAUUUUAGGUUUAAUUUGUUAUUGUGGGGAGGUUUCUUAAAGGAAUUCGGCAAAAAUACUCUUCACCUGUUUAUUAAAAACAUGUCCUGUUGAUUGUUAUUUCAGGUUUGGUCUGCCCAUUGAGGGUAUUUAACGGCCGCGGUAAAUUGACCGUGCAAAGGUAGCAUAAUCAUUAGUUUUUUAAUUGAAAGCUUGUAUGAAGGGCUUGAUGAGAGAGUUUCUGUCUCUGGGAAAGUUUAAUAGAAUUUUAUUUUUAAGUGAAAAAGCUUAGAUUGUUAUAGAAGACGAGAAGACCCUAUAGAGUUUUAUAGGUGAAGAUAUAUUUAUUUAAGGGAUUAAGUUUUAAUUGUAUUUUACGCUAUUUUGUUGGGGUGAUGAGAAAAUUGAAUGAACUUUUCUUUUGGUAAGAUAAUUAUACUUAUGUUUAUGAUCCUUAAGUUAAGAUUAGAAGAAUAAAUUACCUUAGGGAUAACAGCGUUAUUUUUUUUAGAGUUCUUAUCGAAAGGAAAGAUUGCGACCUCGAUGUUGGAUUAAAAUUUAUUAUUGGUGUAGAAGCUAGUAAGUUAGGUCUGUUCGACCUUUAAAAUUUUACAUGAUCUGAGUUUAAACCGGCGUGAGCCAGGUUGGUUUCUAUCUCUAUAAAGAUGAUUAUUUUAGUACGAAAGGACCAAGUAUUCAAUUUAUAAUUAAAGUUUUGAGUAGAAUUAA
rnacentral:rRNA from 1 species